UUAAGACGGUAUCAAAAUAAUACUGGUCGUUCCAAAAGUAACCAAGAAGGUGAUAGUCAUGAGGGUUGAUCGGAAACUKCUGAUAAGCUUUGCGUAAGUCACGUUUAAACAGUAAACAACCAUGACCGAACUCAAUAAUCGCGUCCACCACAAUGUCCACCGUGGGAUAGGUGAUCUCAAGUUGCGUACCCAGAUAGGAGUCUUUAGCAAUACCAUCGUUAAUAGAGGARCCACACGGCCAACUCAGAUCAACAAUCACCCGCCGUUCCGAAGAAUCGCGUUUUUCAACAGUAUUCAAAGGAGAAGCCACGAAGCCAUCAGAAAAUGGAGUAGACUCGAAAGGCCCCGCGAUCCGUCCUCGAGAAAGUUCGCUGAGUAAAUGAGACGUGACCGCGUUAGGGAAAUUGAUGGCACCACGAUGAUUGCGUUUGUUAAAAAACAGAAGAGUGACAUUUUGAUAACCCACAGGCCAUCCGUACUCUAAAAAGUCACAAAUAAUUCGGUCGUGAUAAUCCUGUAACAAGUCCCGCCAAACUCCAAUGCACAAUCCUGAAGGGACAGAUAGACGAGCAACCKCAAAAUUCGGUAAUCCGCUAGAAUAUACUUGACGUGAGCGGAAACGAAAAAAGGCUGAAACGAAGCACUGUCACGGAGAGGGCRAGCAGGCGAGAUGAAGUCUCGUAAAACAACUGAACGGUCCUGAGAAUAAACGUCACGUAAAACAUAGUCUUGACCUYUAAAAGAACAGUCGAGUAAAGCAUAGUCUAGAACAAAGUCACAAUCUUGAAAAUUACGAACAGGAAWGGAGGAGACGCCACCRGUAAGAAAAUUACCGGUGAAGGCGUCCCCGGCAGUUAGUUUUUUGGUUGUGAAAAGGACGAAGMUAACGGGCAAUCCGACGAGGAUUCGCGGUGCUUUUCCUGCUUUCGGCUUUUUAUCCAACAUUCUGCAUAAACAUGUCGAAACCACUUCGACUCACCGCGAAUUGUGCCAAAGUAAUCCCCAGGGUGAGAGCACUUGUCGUGUUGAAGAUCGCGGCAAAAUAACACGGUCGGUGAAGAUUACGGGACUGUCGAAACGCGCAAGGGAUGUCCAAACAGUGCAUACCCCGCAACAAAUUCUGCAAGCGAAAGAUCGUCGUACUUGAUGUCACGAUGGGCGUGAGUUAAGGAAAAAAAACUKUGUGGCCACAACUGUGGACAAACAACUUCGCUAGUGGGUUUAGCAUCUUUACSAGAUUUAAACUUACUUUUUGGCACUYGGUUCGCUGUCGGAGAAGUAACCUCGGCGCCUGCMUCGUCGUCAKUAUCGCUCUGGGAAGAUCCUACCAGGSAGAGGUGUGCCACGCGCUUGUCCACCGCUGUAGCGAGAGACGACAUCGCGCGAAGAUCAGGCAAAGUGACCUGGGCAGAUGCAGUUGGUUGGUUUACGACGGAGGCUGAACGUGAGUGUUGUGUAGGACGUUCCUGAUGAAUCAUGGACCUCAACUCUGAAGUUUCCUCACGAAUAGACUUAACUUCUGCCGGCAAUGUCUUGACACAAUCCAAAAUGGUGGAUAGCGACGCGGCUUCAUCGACAGAAGCGGUUUCAUCAACCUCAUGCUCACUGUCGGUAGCGGAGUGAAGACCGUGAGGGCCCGAACACGCAGCUCCAGGUCUCCCAAARGUGUAAUUAGACGUAACAAUCUUACAUCCAGGACAUUUACUACUCAGAGGUACUACGACCCAUGAUAAAAAUACUGGUUAACGAAAAUGACCUAAUACGAGUACGACAAACAACGCAACUGAUAUCUAGUACAGCCAACACCUAACUAUGUAUGGAAAACUGAUGCGAACCGGAAAUGGAUCAGAUGGCAAUUAAUCCCUUUGCGAGGGAGGGGGAAAAUGAAGACAGAAUAAGCUGUUAUCAUAUUUGGUCGUCAGUGUGGUUUUAAAAAACUGKUGGUGAAACGGACUGGCUCCUAUCAUGAUUUGUUGAGAAUUUAGAGGAAGUUAAAGAUUUAGAAUUAGCCUCUGAAUGUAAUGUCUACAACGUGGAAUCUCCCGUUACCUACCAUACCUACCAGAAAACAUUGUUGCGUAGCCCCAGCUUUGUAUAGACAUUACAUAGCGUUUGGCAUGUUCUUUGGGGUCUCCCUUCUCUCUCAUCCACCUCUCUUUGUAUGGGCAUGGCAUAAGAUGUGUAUCAACAGAAACCAAUCCAAACCAUUUGGUGUCACAGGAGAAUCUGGGUCGUUAAAAGGUUUCUUGAAUUCUUCCACCGACCGAAAGUAAAAGCAAAGCCAUCACAUGAAACAAUGCAUCAGCAAUGUCACAUGGUUUCUCCCUCAGCCAAUGAGCACUACAGGCUGAAAAACCCAGAUGAACUGUGUUGCUUGGAACACAYUGACUGUAGAAGUUGGUACCACAAACCAUUACAAAGACAUUUUGAAAAUCCAUCAAAUAAGAACGUGGGCCUGAUGGGAGAAAACCUGGAAAGUCAAAAUGCAAAGUGUCGCUUCUAAAGUUAAUCCAACAGUAACAGACAGCUAGAUCUCAAUUAUGAUCUCAAUCAUUAAAAUAUUUAGACCACUUCACUUAGAAUCGAUUUUGUGUACAAGGACUAUACACUGGAAAACGAGACAUGAUUCAAAUAUCAAACAGUAUUUGAAAUGCUUGCUAACUGAGAAGAGUUUAAUGAAACUAUACCUUGCAAUCGCAUAAACAGYGAUUUAAAAUCAUUGACAGGCUGGUCUUCAUAGAUAAUAUUGAUUGGCAUUUCUUCUCCAUACUUUUCUCGUAUUGCCUUYACUGAUUCAUACAUCAACGGCAUUGAU